rnacentral:rRNA from 1 species
AGCUCCAAUAGCGUAUAUUAAAGUUGUUGCAGUUAAAAAGCUCGUAGUUGGAUUUGUGGUGUGUGCCUUGGCGUUGUGAUUUGUUUCAUUUUCUGCCUUGGCCGUGCCAUGUUUUGGGUGGAAUCUGUGUGGCAUUAGGUUGUCGUGCAGGGGAUGCCCAUCGUUUACUGUGAAAAAAUUAGAGUGUUCAAAGCAGGCUUAUGCCGUUGAAUAUAUUAGCAUGGAAUAAUAAGAUAGGUCUUUGGUCCUAUUUUGUUGGUUUGCGGGCCGGAGAAAUGAUUAACAGGGACAGUUGGGGGUAUUCGUAUUCCAUUGUCAGAGGUGAAAUUCUUGGAUUUCUGGAAGACGAACUACUGCGAAAGCAUUUACCAAGGAUGUUUUCAUUAAUCAAGAACGAAAG